CCGUUCUGGGCUUCUGGCUGCAUUCUAGGAAGAUCAUUCCUUAAAAGAAAUAGCCAUAUGGCUUAUAAGGUGCUAAAAGGAUAAUACCAAGGAAAACUAUGGGUGGGGGCAGUGAAUGGCCAGCAUGCCUAUAAUCCCAGCACUUGAAGCCAGGAGUUCGAGACCAGCCUGGGAAACAAAGCAAGACCCUGUGUCUAAAAAAAUUUUUUUAAAAAUAAGCUGGGCAUGGUGGCACGUGCCUAUAGUCCCAGCUACUCAGCUACUCGGGAGACCAAGACAUGGAAUAAACUUGACAAGUGCUAAAGAUGCUCUUUGAUUUUUGUGUGGCAUGAGACCUCAGGCUGAAACUUCUCAUCUGAGCCAUUGAAGGGAGCCUCUCAUCUCUCCACCGAGAGGGGAGACCAGAAUGCUCUGUUUCUGGCAGGAAUCUGACACCACUUACUCCUUGGGUAGAAACUCCCCCAAGUCUGAACUAUGUGAUUGCCUGAGCCCUGCUUCUUGUUCAUUAAGACUGCUCCUCUGAAACGGAAUUGAUGAAUUUUUAGUGGCUAUUAGAAGCAUUUGGGAUCCAUAGGCAUCAGGGUUUGAUGCAUGGCCCUCAUCUCUGUGGGCUCCUGUGCAAUGAUUCUCAUCUGUCUUAGUUAGAAAGUGAAUUAAUCUUGACCUUGGCCUCAGGGGUGUGGUUCUCUGCCCUCUUACACAUCUUCAAUUCGCUUCUUUAUCAGAAGCACUUGUUUUAGGCCCAGGCUCCCCCAAUUUUAAUGACAUUUAGACAUUUGUCUUUAAGUUACAUUGCUUUGAUUUUAAUCAAAAUCUAUAUUUCUAGUAUUAUAUGUUUCCAGAAAGUUCUCAUUCUGGAUUGUAAUUUAAUUACAUGGAUCAUUAAAGCUUUGAAGGAUGCUAAUGGG
rnacentral:lncRNA from 1 species